rnacentral:snoRNA from 1 species
CUGGAAUGAUGAGAUUCCACUUCAUUGGUCCGUGUUUCUGAAACCCGUGAUUUUGUGGAAGUUCUGACUUG